ACACGUAGGGGCCUGACGUUGUUCGGAAUCAUUGGGCGUAAAGGGCGCGCAGGCGGCCGUCCAAGUCCGGUGUUAAAUGGUCGGGCUCAACCCGAUCAUGCGCUGGAAACUGGGCGGCUUGAGUCCCGUAGGGGAUGCCGGAAUUCCAGGUGUAGGGGUGAAAUCUGUAGAUAUCUGGAAGAACACCGAUGGCGAAGGCAGGCAUCUGGCCGGAGACUGACGCUGAGGCGCGAAGGCGCGGGGAGCGAACAGGUUUAGAUACCCUGGUAGUCCGCGCAGUAAACGAUGCGCACCAGGUGUCGGGCGGCAGCGCCCGGUACCGGAGCUAACGCGAUGAGUGCGCCGCCUGGGGAGUAUGCCCGCAAGGUUGAAACUCAAAGGAAUUGGCGGGG
rnacentral:rRNA from 1 species